rnacentral:misc_RNA from 1 species
GGGGGAAUAGUACAUGGUUCAAGUGCUUCGAUGCUUGAAGGUCUCCUGGUGUGAUAAUUAUCUACGCCGUUGACUUAGUCGUUGCUUGUAUUGGCCGUAGAAUUUCUCUGCUUCUAACUGUCUCGCAAGGGACUAGUCCGCUCCAGGGCUAUAAUGACUAUUGUGACCUCAAAUCAGGUGGGACUACCCGCUGAACUUAA